AAUGUUCCACAAUGGGCGCAAUCUUGUCGGAGCGACGCAGCGUGGCUGAAGAAUCCCGAGAGGUUGUAAAACCCUUUCAUCAUGAAGAAUAUGCCUAAGAGGUAAAGAAGAUGUGACGACGUUAUAUGAGGAAUAAGCACCGGCCAUUUACGCCCCAGCAGCCGUGAUAACAAGGAAGGUGCGAGUGUUUUUAAGAAUUAGGGGGCGUAAAGGGCUCGUAGGCGGCCUGCCAAGUCUUUCGUGAAAGACCAGGGCUCAACAAGGGUAUGCGAGGGAAACUGGCAAUCUGGAAUCGGGGAGGGGGUACAGGAAUUCAGUGGGUAGGGGAAAAAUCUGUUGAUAGUAGGAAGAACCCCGGAGGAGAAGGCGUGUACGGGGCCAAUGAUUGACGCGGAGGAGAGAAAGCGUAGGGAAAGAACAGGUUUAGAUCCCUUGGUUGUCUCCCCCAUA
rnacentral:rRNA from 1 species